rnacentral:rRNA from 1 species
AACGAACGCUGGCGGCAUGCCUAACACAUGCAAGUCGAACGAAACCUUCGGGUCUAUUGGCGCACGGGUGCGUAACGCGUGGGAACCUUCCCUUAUGUUCGGAAUACCUCCCCGAAAGGGGUGCUAAUACCGGAUAAUGUCUUCUGACCAAAGAUUUAUCGCCUUUGGAUGGGCCCGCGUUGGAUUAGCUAGUUGGUAGGGUAAAAGCCUACCAAGGCGACGAUCCAUAGCUGGUCUGAGAGGAUGAUCAGACACACUAGGACGAAGACACGGCCCAGAAUCCUACGGGAGGGAGCAGUGGGGAAUAUUGGAAAAUGGGCGAAAGCCUGAUCCAGCAAUGCCGCGUGAGUGAUGAAGGCAUUAGGGUUGUAAAGCUCUUUUAACCGGGAUGAUAAUGACAGUACCGGGAGAAUAAGCCCCGGCUAACUCCGUG